UACGAAGGGGGCUAGCGUUGCUCGGAAUCACUGGGCGUAAAGGGUGCGUAGGCGGGUCUUUAAGUCAGGGGUGAAAUCCUGGAGCUCAACUCCAGAACUGCCUUUGAUACUGAGGAUCUUGAGUCCGGGAGAGGUGAGUGGAACUGCGAGUGUAGAGGUGAAAUACGUAGAUAUCUGGAGGAACACCGGUGGCGAAGGCGGCGAUCUGGCCCAACAUUGACACUGAGACCCGAAAGCGUGGGGAUCAAACAGG
rnacentral:rRNA from 1 species